UACGUAGGGUGCGAGCGUUGUCCGGAAUUACUGGGCGUAAAGAGCUUGUAGGCGGUUUGUCGCGUUGUUCGUGAAAUCUCACGGCUUAACUGUGAGCGUGCGGGCGAUACGGGCAGACUAGAGUACUGCAGGGGAGACUGGAAUUCCUGGUGUAGCGGUGGAAUGCGCAGAUAUCAGGAGGAACACCGAUGGCGAAGGCAGCUCACUGGGACGGUACUGACGCUGAGGCGCGAAAGCUAGGGGAGCAAACAGG
rnacentral:rRNA from 1 species